rnacentral:lncRNA from 1 species
CUUUGUUGAUUUCUGUUAUUCCACCACAAUUACACCCAAACUGCUGGAGAACUUGGUUGUGGAAGAUAGAACUAUCUCCUUCACAGGAUGCACCAUGCAGUUAUUCUUUGUCUGCAUAUUUGUAGUAACAGAAACAUUCAUGCUGGCAGUGAUGGCCUAUGACCGAUAUGUGGCGGUGUGUAACCCUCUUCUCUACACAGUUGCAAUGUACCAGAGGCUUUGCUCCUUGUUAGUGGCUACAUCAUACUGUUGGGGGAUAGUCUGUUCCCUGACACUUACCUAGUUUCUACUGGAAUUAUCCUUCAGAGGAAAUAAUAUCAUUAAUAACUUUGUCUGUGAGCACGCUGCCAUUGUUGCUGUGUCUUGCUCUGACCCCUGUGUGAGCCAGGAGAUCACUUUAGUUUCUGCCACAUUCAAUGAAAUAAGCAGCCUGCUUCCUAUGCUUUCAUUUUUAUCACUGUCAUGAAGACGCCUUCCACUGGGGGGCGCAAGAAAGCGUUCUCCACGUCUGCCUCCCACUUGACGGCCAUUACCAUUUUCCAUGGGACUAUCCUUUUCCUCUACUGUGUUCCUAACUCCAAAAGUUCGUGGCUCAUGGUCAAGGUGGCCUCUGUCUUUUACACAGUGGUCAUUCCCA